AGAUUUUAAGAUAAUUAAUCUAUUAGCCUUCAAAGUUAAAUAUAUACUAUAUUAAACUUUUAUAAAUCUUA
rnacentral:tRNA from 1 species